rnacentral:rRNA from 1 species
GAUGAACGCUGGCGGCGUGCCUAAUACAUGCAAGUCGAGCGAACAGACGAGGAGCUUGCUCCUCUGACGUUAGCGGCGGACGGGUGAGUAACACGUGGAUAACCUACCUAUAAGACUGGGAUAACUUCGGGAAACCGGAGCUAAUACCGGAUAACAUGUUGAACCGCAUGGUUCAACAGUGAAAGACGGUCUUGCUGUCACUUAUAGAUGGAUCCGCGCCGCAUUAGCUAGUUGGUAAGGUAACGGCUUACCAAGGCAACGAUGCGUAGCCGACCUGAGAGGGUGAUCGGCCACACUGGAGCUGAGACACGGUCCAGACUCCUACGGGAGGCAGCAGUAGGGAAUCUUCCGCAAUGGGCGAAAGCCUGACGGAGCAACGCCGCGUGAGUGAAGAAGGUCUUCGGAUCGUAAAGCUCUGUUAUUAGGGAAGAACAAAUGUGUAAGUAACUAUGCACGUCUUGACGGUACCUAAUCAGAAAGCCACGGCUAACUACGUG